ACGGGACUUGCCCUCACCCGCGCCUCCCGCCGGGGAAGUCCGGGCUCGCCACUGUCACCCAGCGAACUCCGGGCGAGGACUCUGAUUGGUCACACCUUCUCAGACGCCGGAACGGAGACUCCCAAAGUUUGAAUGAAAGAGCCACACACUCACCACGUGGACGCUCCCACCCGCAGCCUGGCGUUCUCCCUCACCUGCCGCCUCCUGCCACCCCACUUUCUCCGUGCCCGUUCCCGGACCCCAGAUUCUUCGCUCUCCUCUGCCGCCCCAGGGGGGACAUGGCCCGACACGCUGCGCCUGCUGGGGACGCGACCCCUGGGGAAGGAGAGCUAUCCUCUCCAAGAGAGAGGCCCGCGCAGGUGCAGGCAGCGUGUAGGACAAGGAUCGACCAGAGCUGAGGAUCCGCAGCCAGUUCUGCAAAACCCGGCGCAAGUCUCCAAAGCCAAGCCCUCCUCCCAGGACCCGGUAA